rnacentral:rRNA from 1 species
AUUGAACGCUGGCGGCAGGCCUAACACAUGCAAGUCGAACGGUAACAGGAAGCAGCUUGCUGCUUCGCUGACGAGUGGCGGACGGGGGAGUAAUGUCUGGGAAACUGCCCGAUGGUGGGGGAUAACUACUGGAAAGGGUAGCUAAUACCGCAGAACGUUGCAAGACAAAAGAGGGGGACCUUCGGGGCUCUUGCCCACGGAUGUGCCCAGAUGGGAUUAGCUUGUUGGUGAGGUAACGGCUCACCAAGGCGACGAUCCCUAGCUGGUCUGAGAGGAUGACCAGCCACACUGGAACUGAGACACGGUCCAGACUCCUACGGGAGGCAGCAGUGGGGAAUAUUGCACAAUGGGCGAAAGCCUGAUGCAGCCAUGCCGCGUGUAUGAAGAAGGCCUUCGGGUUGUAAAGUACUUUCAGCGGGGAGGAAGGGAUUGUGGUUAAUAACCGCAUUCAUUGACGUUACCCGCAGAAGAAGCACCGGCUAACUCCGUGCCAGCCGCCGCGGUAAAAC